rnacentral:rRNA from 1 species
GACGAACGCUGGCGGCGUGCUUAACACAUGCAAGUCGAACGGAAAGACCCUGCUUUUGUGGGGUGCUCGAGUGGCGAACGGGUGAGUAACACGUGAGUAACCUGCCCUUGACUUUGGGAUAACUUCAGGAAACUGGGGCUAAUACCGGAUAGGAGCUCCUGCUGCAUGGUGGGGGUUGGAAAGUUUCGGCGGUUGGGGAUGGACUCGCGGCUUAUCAGCUUGUUGGUGAGGUAGUGGCUUACCAAGGCUUUGACGGGUAGCCGGCCUGAGAGGGUGACCGGCCACAUUGGGACUGAGAUACGGCCCAGACUCCUACGGGAGGCAGCAGUGGGGAAUAUUGCACAAUGGGCGGAAGCCUGAUGCAGCAACGCCGCGUGCGGGAUGACGGCCUUCGGGUUGUAAACCGCUUUCGCCUGUGACGAAGCGUGAGUGACGGUAAUGGGUAAAGAAGCACCGGCUAACUACGUG